GCUUGAAACCUAGUUUGACACUGUAGGCAC
rnacentral:misc_RNA from 1 species